rnacentral:tRNA from 1 species
GGUGUUGUGGCUCAGUGGUAGAGCGCUUGCCUAGCAUGUGUGAGGCACUGGGUUCGAUCCCUGGCACCACAU